AGAGUUCGAUUCUGGCUCAGAUUGAACGCUGGCGGCAGGCCUAACACAUGCAAGUCGAGCGGUAGAGAGAAGCUUGCUUCUCUUGAGAGCGGCGGACGGGUGAGUAAUGCCUAGGAAUCUGCCUGGUAGUGGGGGAUAACGUUCGGAAACGGACGCUAAUACCGCAUACGUCCUACGGGAGAAAGCAGGGGACCUUCGGGCCUUGCGCUAUCAGAUGAGCCUAGGUCGGAUUAGCUAGUUGGUGAGGUAAUGGCUCACCAAGGCGACGAUCCGUAACUGGUCUGAGAGGAUGAUCAGUCACACUGGAACUGAGACACGGUCCAGACUCCUACGGGAGGCAGCAGUGGGGAAUAUUGGACAAUGGGCGAAAGCCUGAUCCAGCCAUGCCGCGUGUGUGAAGAAGGUCUUCGGAUUGUAAAGCACUUUAAGUUGGGAGGAAGGGCAGUAAAUUAAUACUUUGCUGUUUUGACGUUACCGACAGAAUAAGCACCGGCUAACUCUGUGCCAGCAGCCGCGGUAAUACAGAGGGUGCAAGCGUUAAUCGGAAUUACUGGGCGUAAAGCGCGCGUAGGUGGUUUGUUAAGUUGGAUGUGAAAUCCCCGGGCUCAACCUGGGAACUGCAUUCAAAACUGACUGACUAGAGUAUGGUAGAGGGUGGUGGAAUUUCCUGUGUAGCGGUGAAAUGCGUAGAUAUAGGAAGGAACACCAGUGGCGAAGGCGACCACCUGGACUAAUACUGACACUGAGGUGCGAAAGCGUGGGGAGCGAACAGGAUUAGAUACCCUGGUAGUCCACGCCGUAAACGAUGUCAACUAGCCGUUGGAAGCCUUGAGCUUUUAGUGGCGCAGCUAACGCAUUAAGUUGACCGCCUGGGGAGUACGGCCGCAAGGUUAAAACUCAAAUGAAUUGACGGGGGCCCGCACAAGCGGUGGAGCAUGUGGUUUAAUUCGAAGCAACGCGAAGAACCUUACCAGGCCUUGACAUCCAAUGAACUUUCUAGAGAUAGAUUGGUGCCUUCGGGAACAUUGAGACAGGUGCUGCAUGGCUGUCGUCAGCUCGUGUCGUGAGAUGUUGGGUUAAGUCCCGUAACGAGCGCAACCCUUGUCCUUAGUUACCAGCACGUCAUGGUGGGCACUCUAAGGAGACUGCCGGUGACAAACCGGAGGAAGGUGGGGAUGACGUCAAGUCAUCAUGGCCCUUACGGCCUGGGCUACACACGUGCUACAAUGGUCGGUACAGAGGGUUGCCAAGCCGCGAGGUGGAGCUAAUCCCACAAAACCGAUCGUAGUCCGGAUCGCAGUCUGCAACUCGACUGCGUGAAGUCGGAAUCGCUAGUAAUCGCGAAUCAGAAUGUCGCGGUGAAUACGUAACCGGGCCUUGCACACACCGCCCGUC
rnacentral:rRNA from 1 species